rnacentral:rRNA from 1 species
GUGGGGAAUUUUGGACAAUGGGGGCAACCCUGAUCCAGCCAUGCCGCGUGCGGGAAGAAGGCCUUCGGGUUGUAAACCGCUUUUGUCAGGGAAGAAAUCCUUUGGGUUAAUACCUCGGAGGGAUGACGGUACCUGAAGAAUAAGCACCGGCUAACUACGUGCCAGCAGCCGCGGUAAUACGUAGGGUGCGAGCGUUAAUCGGAAUUACUGGGCGUAAAGCGUGCGCAGGCGGUUUUGUAAGAUCGAUGUGAAAUCCACGGGCUGAACCUGGGAACUGCAUUGGUGACUGCAAGGCUGGAGUGCGGCAGAGGGGGAUGGAAUUCCGCGUGUAGCAGUGAAAUGCGUAGAUAUGCGGAGGAACACCGAUGGCGAAGGCAAUCCCCUGGGCCUGCACUGACGCUCAUGCACGAAAGCGUGGGGAGCAAACAGGAUUAGAUAACCGGGUAGUCC